rnacentral:rRNA from 1 species
GAUGAACGCUGGCGGCGUGCUUAACACAUGCAAGUCGAACGAUGAACCCCGCUUGCGGGGGGAUUAGUGGCGAACGGGUGAGUAACACGUGAGUAACCUGCCCUUGACUCUGGGAUAAGCCUGGGAAACCGGGUCUAAUACCGGAUAUGACUUCCUGCCGCAUGGCGGGGGUGAAAGCUUUUGUGUCUUGGAUGGACUCGCGGCCUAUCAGCUUGUUGGUGAGGUAAUGGCNCACCAAGGCGACGACGGGUAGCCGGCCUGAGAGGGUGA